rnacentral:lncRNA from 1 species
UGGUUAUAUUUUCAUUUUCAUAUCAGUGAAAAUAUUUUUGUGUUUUCCUUUGGAUGUUUUAUUUGACUUGGGUUAUAUAAUUUAAUGUUAAUUUCCAAAUGUUCAUGUAUUUUCUGGAGAUCUUGCUGUCAUUGAUUAGCAAUUUGAUUCUGCCGAGUCUUACUUAUCACUAGAAUCGUUUUAAACUUAUUGAAACUUUUUUAAUGAUCCAGAAUAUGUCCUAUCUUUUUGAAAAGAAUGCUUACUCUGCUCUUGUUGAGUGGACUAUUCUAUAAAUGUCACUUAGUUCAAGUUGCUUCAUAAUAUUAUCAAGUCUUCUAUGCACUUAGUAAAAUUAUUUCUACUUGUAAAAUUAUUUCUGCUUGUUCUAUCAGUUAUGAAAAGAGAGGUGUUAAGGUUUAGAUGUGGUAUCCCCCAAACGCUCAUGUGUGAGACAAUGCAAGAAGGUUUGGAGGAGAAAUGAUUGGGCUAUAGAUUUAACCUAAUCAGUUAAUUGAUCCCUGAUUGGAUUAACUAGUGACUGAAGGCACUGGAAGAAGUGGUUCAUUGGGGGCAUUUAUACUUUUUGUAUCUGGAGAGUGGAGUUUUUCUCUCUCUGCUUCCUGGUGGUGUGAGCUGGUUCUCUCUGCUACACUGCUAUCUAUGGAUUGAGACCUUUGAAACCGUGAGCCCUUAAAUACACCUUUCCUCCUCUAUAAUUGUUCUGGUUGGGUCUAUAAGUCACAGCAGUGAAAACGCCAACUAAAACAAGAAGUGUUAAAGUUCAACUAUAAUUGUGGGUUUCUCUGUUAUCUAUAUAAUUCUAUCAGAUUUUGCUUUAUCAGUUUCAAAGACUUAUUAUUAGGUUUGUGAACAUUUAGUAUUGUUAUGUUCUCUUGAAUCCAACACUUUGUUAUUAUGAAGUGAUCCAGUUUUAUCCCUGCUAAUAUUCCAUGUUCAGAAGUCUUCUUUUUGUGAUAAUAUAACUUUCCUUUUAUUAGUAUUAGUAUGGUAUAUCUGUUUCCUUCUUUUAGGCUUUUUGUGUCUGUAUAGUUAAUUUAGUUUUUUCAAAGCAGCAUACAGUGGGGUCCUGCUUUUACUUUUUUAUUUGACAAUCUUUGCCUGUAACUGGGACCAUUUAAACAAUAUCAGUUAAUUAUGAUUAUGAUGAUUCAUAUUGUUGGAUUUAGAUCUAUCAUCUUGUUGUUUGUCUUAUAUUUGAGACUUCUCUUGUAUUCUUUUUGCCUUCCUUCG